UCUUAGAUGACUGAGAAUAAGUGUUAGAUUUUUAAUCUAAAAACGGUAGAAAUAUGUACCUCUAAGAA
rnacentral:tRNA from 1 species